UGCUUGCCCUUCUGUGGUGAAGACAGGUAUGUCCCUGGAGAGGCUAUUGAAUCUAGAAAUGCUUUUAGGGGAGUUGUAGGUGGAACAAGGCUUCCCUACUAUCAUGGUGAGGCUGAGCUACAGGGUGGCCGGAGCCAGGGUUUCUGUGUCCCAAACCCAAUUCUGAACUGAGGGUAGAUUCUGGUAAAAUAGUCUGAGCGUUCUUGGACUGUGUGGCAUGUUCCUAAUAUCUUGAUUACCUGGGGGAAUUUUAAUAUUUUGAACCUUACUUAAUGGUAUUUUUGU
rnacentral:lncRNA from 1 species